rnacentral:misc_RNA from 1 species
GAUGAAGAACGUAGCGAAAUGCGAUACGUAAUGUGAAUUGCAGAAUUCAGUGAAUCAUCGAGUCUUUGAACGCACAUUGCGCCCUCUGGUAUUCCGGAGGGCAUGCCUGUCCGAGCGUCAUUGCUGCCUCAAGCACGGCUUGUGUGUUGGGCUCCGUCCCCCGAUCCCGGGGGACGGGCCCGAAAGGCAGCGGCGGCACCGCGUCCGGUCCUCGAGCGUAUGGGGCUUUGUCACCCGCUCUGUAGGCCCGGCCGGCGCUUGCCGAUCAACCAAAUUUUUAUCCAGGUUGACCUCGGAUCAGGUAGGGAUACCCGCUGAACUUAAGCAUAUCAAUAAGCGGAGGA